rnacentral:rRNA from 1 species
AUGAACGCUGGCGGCAUGCUUACACAUGCAAUUGAAGGCAGCACGGGGGCACCCUGGUGGCGAGUGGGGAACGGGUGAGUAAUACAUCGGAACGUGUCCUGUAGUGGGGGAUAGCCCGGCGAAAGCCGGAUUAAUACCGCAUACGCUCUGCGGAGGAAAGCGGGGGAUCCUUCGGGACCUCGCGCUACAGGGGCGGCCGAUGGCAGAUUAGCUAGUUGGUGGGGUAAAGGCCUACCAAGGCGACGAUCUGUAGCUG